UUGAUGACCUUGGGCCAAUCUCCUUCCUCUGUGCCUAGUCUACCUUGCAGGGUUAUUGUGAAGAUAAACACUGAAGGGUAAAGAACCACAUAUGCUGCCCUGGGUUCCUUGGAAGAAAGGUGGGAUAUAAAUGAAAUAAAUUAAUUUAGUAACCAUGGCAUACAGCUAUUGAGCACACCCUCUGGGUUUAUGAAAUUUUACAAUCCCCAUUCAGUUGUCCAAACCAGGAGCCAUCAACACAUCUUGCGGCAGAGCAUUCCGUAAGUUGAAUUGGAUAAGUAGCUGCGGCUCGCUUUAAACUGAAAGGCAGGCAAAUGAAACAGAAGCUUAACAAACGGAUUUCCAGGAGUGAAAGAGAGAGAGGACUCACAGUGGUUUUUGGAAAGAGCGGGGUGCGUUGGGGGAGAAUUUCCCUACAUUUGUUUACUAAGAUGAUACGGUGUGAGGCAGGCUGUUUAAUUAGUGCGCUCUGGAGGUGCCAUUUGUAAAGCAGGCAUGUGCUGAUAUGAUUAUGUAUUGACAAUUUACAAAAUUAUUGCCAUUAAAUUGUGUCAGAGGGAAGAAAAUUAUUCACCACGUGAAGAGGCUCAUUUGAUGCGAAAUUAAAGUUUGCACUACUUUAAAAGUA